GAGACACGGCAAUAUCACACGCUUGUGAUGUAACACCCCAAACCCGGCCUAGAUGUUAUGGCCGGAUCUGACAUGCCACAUCGAAGCGUUCAAAACAUUUUAUAUUGUUGAUCUAGAAAAACUUACUUAGUGUUUUAAAAAAAAUAAUUCAUUAUAAGUUAAAGUGAAUGGAAGCUGUGCACCAGGUAGGAAACUGGAAAAAGAGGAGGUGAGUCCAUCGGACUGCUUAAG
rnacentral:lncRNA from 1 species